UCUCUUUUGGGCUUUUAAUUGAAACACAUACCCAGGUUUGACCCAUAUCUUCUUCUCAACUUCUCGACGUAUCAUUAUUGGCUGCCAUUGCCGCCGUUCUCUACUCCACGUUCAUCUCCUCCACCGCGGAAGAUCCGCCCAGUCUGUUGUCGGUCGACUCAUACGAUUCUGGGAUUCCAGGAACAUUAGCAAGAAUGGAGAGUUCAUGGGCAUCACCAUUCUCCUCCUUGAUGAACUGAUCUAAGAAGGCUCUGCAUAUUGAUUUUGUCGGCUCCAGAUUCUUAAAAAAAGAAACAAACAUCAAUCCUUCGGACGACUCACUGCAUCUCCUCCUUUGCGAGUGGCUCCAGGUCUCCUCAUAUGCCUCAUUGUCCUAUGCGAGUCCUCUGUCGCCGGCUAAGGUGGUUAAGCCUCUUGGCUCUGAGAUUCUUGGUACUGUUAUGUCUUCAAAGAUGUGGGAAAUUGCUUAGGAUUAUGCUCGAUCAUGUGUUCUUAAUCAUAGCGUCCAGCCUCAUGGAUAUCAGAAGGAAACUGCUGUGGUCUUCAAUGUGGUAGCUCAAGUGCUUGGACUGCUUGUGGAUUUUCAGUAUAUUCCUGCUGAGAAGUUAUCUGAGAUUUCAGGUUCAAGCCAAGGACAUGGUAAUUGCUGCACUGAGUCACCUCAAUGAGUCUUCCAUGACGAGGACCUUUCUCAACGUCUCGUCUUCUCAAAGCAAUGUUGGGAUUGAUUACUCCGGUUUGAGUUUGACCAGUAUGGACGGUUAUGGUUUAAGGUCAAACCUUCACAACACAGCAGAAUGCAGUGGCCAUGUUGACAUGGAAGUUACUCCACAAGGUCUAUAUGAAGACUCCAAGCUCUGGAACUGCUUUCAGAUUCUUGGCUUGGAUGAACCUUAAUCUGAUUUGAACUGAAGUUUGCAACAAAUUUGCUAAUGAGUGAUAUUGUUGCUUUCUUGAACAAUUACUUCUAGGUUGCACGGGUACGUCAAUCUAUAGCCGUCUCGCGUACCGGGUUCGGCGGGGGGACGGGUACGUCCCGGGUAAACGUCCCCGACACGUGCAAGAUGACCUUACUUCUUUAAGAAUUAGCUGAGCUGAUGUCUGUAAUCAAAGAUGAAACCAUUAGCAGAAAGAGUGGUAAACAGAUAUUAUUGGAGCUCUUGCUCAAAUAUGAAACUGCCCAAAUCAUAAAAGCAAAAGACUUUAGACAAGUAUGUAUAUGCUAUUCAAAGAAGUACAUAGUUUUUUCCGAGCCAUUUUGAAGGUUCAUUGAGAAUAUAUGUUGUACGAGAGAGGCAUGUGUCUUCUUAUGCUCAUCUCUUUAUUAAGCAAAAAAAAUCUGAAAUUAGGCGUACAAUCAUUAUUUAAAAUAAACAUCCAACAAUGUUAAAUACUCUAAUACACAAUAUAUACACAACACCAACCACUAUACAAAUAUUUGAAAAUCAGUAACCACGACAGAACGCUAACUACACAAAUAAAACAUCACAUAUAUACAUAAAGGUAAAACAACAACUACAUCUAUAACCCCGCGCUUGCGCGGGGGCAGAGCCCCUAGUUAAAAGAAUACGACAGCUAAGGGAGGAAGGAAGAAAAUAGAUGCGUUGAUUGGUCAACAAUUUAAUUGUGAAGUCAUUAUAACUUUUUGAAGCUUAUAAAACGAGACAACCGAGGCUUUAGAAUGAGACAGAUUACAGAUCAUAAAUAAGACAAGAGAAAGAGACUCUGAGAAAAUCGAUAUUAGAUGGAGAAAAGGAGUUUGUAUGGUUUGGUAGUAAUGCUAAUGUACUUGGUGGGUGGUGGCUAUAGUCAAGGGAUAGUGAAACGGAUACGUGACAAAGCUGAAUGGGAAGCAAUCCUGGCCGAUGCCGAUCAUUACAUAGGGCUUAUAGUAACGUCCCCCCUUUGCGGUGCUCCAUGUGCUAUAUUGAACGACCAAGUGGUUCAAAUUGUCGAUUCAUUAAACUCACUCGGCGUCCGGAUUGAGUUCUUUAUAGCUAACAUUUGGGAGACUGCUAUCUUAUCAGAGUGGUUAGUCGAAUUUGUACCAACCGUCAUAAUUUUGAGACAUGGAGACGUAAUAGUUCGCUACGAAGACCUUCUGGACUGGGGUAAAUUUUAUGAUCUAUUAUUCGGCUCAGGUAUAUUCAGCCCCGCCCCAUCCCCCUCUGAAGUCGAAUUUCCACUGCCUCCUCAAUCCGGCUUGUAAAUUACAGUCCUGUCUUGAUUUAGUAACGUCACUUUAUGUGUACUAUACUGUAUUU